AGAAUGCAAGUCGAACGCGAUUUUCCCGGUUUAGCAAUAACUGGGAAAAUUGAGUGGCGAAUGGGUGCGCUAACACGUGGGAAUUUACCCGGAAGUGGGGGAUAGCUCGUCGAAAGGCGAAUUAAUACUGCAUGUGCCCGUGAGGGCAAAGUGGGGGACCGCAAGGCCUCACGCUACCGGAGGAGCCCGCGUCCUAUCAGCUAGUUGGCGGGGUAACGGCCCACCAAGGCGAAGACGGGUAGCUGGUCUGAGAGGACGACCAGCCACACUGGAACUGAGACACGGUCCAGACACCUACGGGUGGCAGCAGUCGAGGAUUUUUCUCAAUGGGGGCAACCCUGAAGGAGCGACGCCGCGUGGAGGAUGAAGGGCUUCGGCUUGUAAACUCCUGUCACCGACGAACAAGGCAUCCGGUUGAACAUUCCGGGUGAUUGAUGGUAGUCGGAGAGGAAGGGGCGGCUAACUCUGUGCCAGCAGCCGCGGUGAUACAGAGGCCCCGAGCGUUGUUCGGAUUUACUGGGCGUAAAGGGUGUGUAGGGGGUCGGGUAAGUUUGACGUGAAAGCCCGCUGCUUAACAGCGGAACGGCGUCGAAUACUGCCCGGCUGGAGGUUCGGAGAUGAGAGCGGAAUUCUCGGUGUAGCGGUGAAAUGCGUAGAUAUCGAGAGGAACGCCGACGGCGAAAGCAGCUCUCAAGACGACACCUGACCCUGAGACACGAAGGCCAGGGGAGCAAACGGGAUUAGAUACCCCGGUAGUCCUGGCAGUAAACGGUGCUCAUUAGACGUGGGCGGAUUCGACCCCGCCCGUGUCGAACCUAACGGAUUAAAUGAG
rnacentral:rRNA from 1 species